CAGUCGCCACGGGAAUACGGAGGGGGCUAGCGUUGUUCGGAAUUACUGGGCGUAAAGCGCACGUAGGCGGCUUGGUAAGUUAGAGGUGAAAGCCUGGAGCUCAACUCCAGAAUUGCCUUUAAGACUGCCGAGCUAGCAGGUGAGAGAGGUAAGUGGAAUUCCGAGUGUAGAGGUGAAAUUCGUAGAUAUUCGGAAGAACACCAGUGGCGAAGGCGGCUUACUGGCUCACACUGGACGCUGAGGUGCGAAAGCGUGGGGAGCAAACAGGAUUAGAUACCCCUGUAGUCCCUGUCUCUUAUAC
rnacentral:rRNA from 1 species